AACGAACGCUGGCGGCAUGCCUAACACAUGCAAGUCGAACGAGACCUUCGGGUCUAGUGGCGCACGGGUGCGUAACGCGUGGGAACCUGCCCUUAGGUUCGGAAUAACUCCCCGAAAGGGGUGCUAAUACCGGAUAAUGUCUUCGGACCAAAGAUUUAUCGACUUUGGAUGGGCCCGCGUUGGAUUAGCUAGUUGGUAGGGUAAAAGCCUACCAAGGCGACGAUCCAUAGCUGGUCUGAGAGGAUGGUCAGCCACACUGGGACUAAGACACGGCCCAGACUCUUACGGGAGGCGGCAGAGGGGAAUAUUGGAAUAUGGGGGAAGGCCUGAACCAGCAAUGCCGCGUGAGUGAUGAAGGCCUUAGGGUUGUAAAGCUCUUUUACCCGGGAUGAUAAUGACAGUACCGGGAGAAUAAGCUCCGGCUAACUCCGUG
rnacentral:rRNA from 1 species